rnacentral:tRNA from 1 species
GCAUCCUUAGCUCAGUUGGCAGAGCAACUGACUCUUAAUCAGUGGGUCCAGGGUUCGAAUCCCUGAGGAUGUACGA